ensembl:lncRNA
CACUGCAGUAACAACCAGAACACAAACAACACAAGUGUUCAUGGGAUUAAAAGUUCAAUAAACUUUCAGAGAUCAGAGGAAACAUCUGACUGUUACAGAAAUCAUUUCAUCUUUAGUUUCAUGACACUGUCACAACAUUCAUUCAGUUAUAGUUGCCAAAUGAACACCAUCAGACUGAUUAUUGAUCGGUUAGUGUCUGUAAUUAUGUAACAGCUGACCUGCACAUGAGGAUCAGUUUGUGUGGUUCAAACCUCACAGAACAAGUCUGACUUUAAAAACAGUGGCUGAACCUGUAACAUUCAGGGCACUGAACUCUGAAAACUGAUGAGAAACAAACCAUAAAAAAGUAAAUUCCUGACAUUAGUGGAAAUAAAAUUCUGCUUCAAACAAGUUCAAUCGGAAACAGAAUAUGUUGUUUGGGAAAACACUGAAAUGUAUUUGUAUUCAUUUUAAGAUGUCUUAAUUAUUGUUUGAAAAUAUGAGCUCAUGCGUGUCCCACAGAAAUGUAAAGAAUAAUAUGAGCGACUAACCUCACAAACACAAAUCUAACAUAUAUUUUUUCUCUGCAAACUAAUUUAGCUGCCUCAGAACAACAUACAAUCAAAUGAUGAAGACCUGUGUGUGUUUGAAACCAUACAUCAUCAAAAUUGAACUACUAUUAAUAAUAAUUGUCCAAUACAUCAGAAACCGAUAAUGCUCAGUGUUGGAAGUAAAUACAUAACAAUAGAUGUUAAAAACAGUAAAGGUGUAGGCUUUAACACUUUUUCCAACAUUAUUCAGUAUUUUCUGUCAACUUCUCAGCCUGUAAAUGUAAAAAAAGUGAUCCUUCCUGUAUGGCUUUGGGUUUAAUUUCUUAGGACUCUCCCACAGAUGUAGGACAAUAUGAUUUAUUUAUUUUUAACCUGCAACUUUUAAUAAUUGAUUUUCCAUUUUUAUUCCUUCAUACUUCUGGGACAUUAGCUUUUAUUUAAACGUGGUCUCAGCUGUGGAGUCUCUUUGGAAUGAAGCAACUCUUCUGGUUUUCUACUUGGACUCUAGUGUUUAAGUUUCUUCAGUGUGCUUCACUCCUGCUUUUCUGCCUUAAUGUAGGCUUCUCUUACCCAGCAUCAACAUGAAAGAAGCUCUGAGACAAUUUAAACUUGCUGAUGUUCAUCAGGAUGCUAGUUAAAAUCUCGGUUCUGUUGUUUAUGUUUUCUGUAGAUCAGAAAACCAACACCAGCAGCAACAAGAACAGCAGGAACACUCAGACCAACGAUCAGUCCAACAGAUCCUCCUGCAGAUCCACCCAGUUCUUAAAAGAUGGAUGCUGGUUGGUUGGAUCAAGCUGGUCAUCCCUGUACAAAAGCACAUAUUCAUCUCCCAGCUCAGCUCUGGUCCACUCUACACCGGUGAUGCUGCUGCUGUUGUUUGGAGCUCGACAUGGAAGAGUGACGUUCUUCUGUCCAGGCUCAGCUUUGAUGAUUUUCUGGUCUAAAAGAGGAAACAACACAGAGCAGAGAGGUUAAAGGUCAAAGUACACCUGUUCACCUCCA